AUUGCUUGGUUCCAACCUGCUAAAAAAAACUGCUCCUGCGAUGAGCCUGCCGUCGGCCAUCUCCUAGAUCUUCUAUCAAAUCUCUCUGUCGAUAACGGAAGAGGACAGUAAAGCGCUAUUGUCGAUCCAACAGCGUAAUCUUGCCGGCCGAGCGCACUGAUGAGCAACCAAACGGGCAAAAAGACUCGAGCAAACGAUGACGCUGUGAUGGCCGCUGUUGAUCUAUGUUGCCGGCUUGCCAUAAGCGCACCAUCUUCCAUGGCAGCAAUGGAUCUUUUCUUGAGGGAUAAACAAGCAAACUAAAUCUGCGCGACGAGCGAGCGAGCGAGCGAGAUCGAUCAUUGUGCAACGACCGGCAGCAGGAUAUAAUCUUAACGUGCCUACCUGAACUCAAAAAACAAUGCAAGCUGGUGGAGCGCAGGGCUGCAAGGUGCAGGCGCAAUGUGCAUUGUCAAAUCAGAAGCGGGACCGUUGGGGGAAAACAAAUCACAAAUAGGACAGAUUCUUGUGCAUGGCACGAUUUACU